CGCUUGGUGCUUCAUACUAAGUAAUUCCUGCUCGGUGAUCUUAAACAGCAGCGGUAUUCUGACCGUUCGAAGGUAGCAUAAUAAGCUUAAUAAUUGUAAGCCUGUCAACGGAGCGAUGGGUCCAGGUAAGUCAAAAACCAUUUUUUUUUAAAUUACCCAAAAAGUAAGAACACUUUUAGUAUAAAAAAAGACGACAAGACCCUAGAAUUUUCUUAUUGUUUAGAUGGGGAAUCUUUGGUAAAAAAAACCACCGAUAAAAUACUCUAGGGAUAACAGCCUCAUUCGGGAGUAACUUCCGAGCUUGGGACCUCGAUGUUGAAUUAGGUACCUUUGUCCCCAGAAGGGACUUUUUUUGGUCUGUUCGACCUAUAUGAAGCCU
rnacentral:rRNA from 1 species